GCUGAAACACCAGUUCUCAUAUGAUCCCCAAAGUUAAGCAAUGUCGAGCCUGGUCAGUACCUAGCUGGGUGACCACUUGGGAAUACCAGGAGCUGUAGG